GGGCCCGCACAAGCGGUGGAGCAUGUGGUUUAAUUCGAUGCAACGCGAAGAACCUUACCAAGCCUUGACAUCCUCGGAACUUUCCAGAAAUGGAUUGGUGCCUUCGGGAACCGAGUGACAGGUGCUGCAUGGCUGUCGUCAGCUCGUGUCGUGAGAUGUUGGGUUAAGUCCCGUAACGAGCGCAACCCUUGUCCUUAGUUGCCAGCACUUCGGGUGGGAACUCUAAGGAGACUGCCGGUGACAAACCGGAGGAAGGUGGGGACGACGUCAAGUCCUCAUGGCCCUUAUGGGCUGGGCUACACACGUGCUACAAUGGCAGUGACAGAGGGACGCUACCAGGUGACUGGAUGCAAAUCUCAAAAAGCUGUCUCAGUUCGGAUUGUUGUCUGCAACUCGACAACAUG
rnacentral:rRNA from 1 species